rnacentral:rRNA from 1 species
GUUGACAGUCAGUAUACAAAAGCCUGAAAACAUCAGAUCCCAUCUGAUCUUGAAAGCUAUGCAGGUUCAGGCCUGGCUGGUACUUCGAAAAGGGACCACCAAGGAAUACCAGGAGCUGUAGGCU